rnacentral:rRNA from 1 species
UAGCGAAGGGGGCUAGCGUUGCUCGGAAUCACUGGGCGUAAAGGGUGCGUAGGCGGGUCUUUAAGUCAGGGGUGAAAUCCUGGAGCUCAACUCCAGAACUGCCUUUGAUACUGAGGAUCUUGAGUCCGGGAGAGGUGAGUGGAACUGCGAGUGUAGAGGUGAAAUUCGUAGAUAUUCGCAAGAACACCAGUGGCGAAGGCGGCUCACUGGCCCGGUACUGACGCUGAGGCACGAAAGCGUGGGGAGCAAACAGG